GUGGAUCUGCUCGCCUUGUUAGGUCUGCUUAAACAUUUUACAACCGCACCAAGUGUGUUGAGAUAGCAGCGGCAGAGUGAGGGGAAGCAGGGAUAGGGGAAAAGGGGCUUUUCUAUGGCCACCUUGGAAAGCCAUGCAAGAUCCCUGGCUCAACCAGCAAGAUAAUACAUCAAAAGACAGUUCAACUAAAUAAGGGCAUAUAAGUUUUGUCUCUCAGGGGGAAACAACCGUAACAAAUCUUACUCAGUCAGCACAGAGGCUGCAUUAAGUUCAUGACUCUAAAAAUCGACCGGGGAUCAACAGAAGUCAUCCGUGAGGGAAUAAGAAAAUGCGCGCCUAAAUCAAAAUUUUAGGGUCUAGUGCGAAGGCAACGUGAAAAAUACCGAAAAGUACAAAUAAAUUCUAAGCACAGUACCAAGGAUAUCCUAAGUUGUUUUUAAUGACAGGAGAAGGUGGAUGCAGUCUGAAGGAAGAGAUUUUUAUCUUGACCAAGAUUGAUUUGUUGUCAUUGAUUUGACUUUACCUUUGAAUCACAUUUUUGUAUAGAGUCACAGAAGGGAAGGUAUGAGUGGAGGUCGUUUUGAAUUUGAUGAUGGCGGAGCUUAUUGUGGUGGUUGGGAAGGUGGCAAAGCCCAUGGGCAUGGGCUCUGCACCGGACCUAAAGGACAGGGCGAGUUCUCCGGUUCCUGGAAUUACGGGUUUGAAGUAGUUGGAGUGUACACCUGGCCAAGCGGAAAUACCUAUGAAGGCUUCUGGUCGCAAGGGAAGCGCCACGGUCUAGGAGUUGAGACUAAAGGACCGUGGGUUUACAAGGGAGAAUGGACUCAUGGCUUCAAGGGGAGAUAUGGCUUGCGUCUGAGUGUGGGUAGUGGAGCAAAAUAUGAAGGAACAUGGAAUAACGGAUUACAAGAUGGAUAUGGCACAGAGACAUAUGCUGAUGGAGGCACAUUUCAGGGCCAGUUUACUGGCGGUAUGCGACACGGGUACGGAGUCCGUCAGAGCGUGCCCUACGGCAUGGCGGCGGUGGUCCGCUCCCCUCUCCGCACCUCCCUCACCUCCCUCCGCAGCGAGCACAGCAACGGCACCUUGCUCCAGCAGGAUGUCCCCGCCAUCACCACCACCAACGUCGCCGGCCAGGAGACCCGGGUCACCACGCCCACCAAGCUGGGGCCAUCCCGGGGUGGCUUCGCCCUGACCCUCCAGGUGGACCCGGAUGCCGUUAAACCCAAGAAGAAGGGCCUGUUCCGAAGGGGGUCUCUCCUGGGGAAACUGAAGAAGUCAGACUCCCGUACGUCCUUAUCCAGCGUGAGGAGCAAGUUAAGCUUCCUGGGAUCGAGGAGCGAAUCUGCGUUAAGUUCUGCUGCCAGCGAUGUGGCCAGCGAUGCCAACUCCACCAUCAGUCUGGGAGACGAGAGCCUGGCCGGGCCGGAUGAUUUCCCCCCCGUGGAGGCCGACAUCGAUGCCACUACCACAGAGGUCUACAUGGGGGAGUGGAAGAACGACAAGCGCUCGGGCUAUGGAAUAAGCGAACGGUCCAGUGGUCUGAAGUAUGAGGGUGAGUGGUUGGACAACCAGCGACACGGCUAUGGAUGCACUACCUUUGCGGAAGGGGGCAAGGAGGAGGGAAAGUAUAUGAACAAUAUGCUGGUGAAGGCCAUGAAGAAGAGGGUGAUCCAACUGAAGGGCACCAAGAUCAGGCAGAAGGUGGAGCGUGGUGUGGAGGGAGCUCAGCGUGCCUCUGCCAUCGCCAGACAGAAAGCGGAGAUUGCUGCUUCCAGGACGACCCAUGCUAAGGCCAAGUCAGAUUCUGCCGAUCAGGCCUCUCAGGCUUCCAACCAAGAGUCCAGCCUCGCCAGGUUGGUGGCCAGGGAACUGUCCCCUUCAUUCUAUCAGCCAGGCCCAGAGUACAUGAAGAAGAGAGCGCUACAGGAGAUCUCAGAUGGCAAUGAGAACACAGGCCCUAUAAUGCAUGAACCACUGUUAGCAGGGCAGCCACCGACACCCGCUGAAAGCCCAAUGCUGCACGACAGGCCUGACUCCUCUCCAGCCCGCACGCCCUCCCCCAGCCCUGCUGUGACACCUCCAGCGUCCAGGCACUCCAAGCAGGGCUACGUCAGCAAAGAGGAUCCCCAUCUCCUCGGCCCCGCUGGCUGGAACGGGGACAAAGGCAAUGGAAGUCGGGGGAGCAGCCGUCCCAAUAGCAGAACCAACAGCCGGCCCACCACUCCCGCCCCUGCCGCUGCUCCCCCUGAAGAGCGCCUCGCUACUGCCCCCAUCCCUAGCAGCCGCGCCUCCAGCCGCUUGAGCAACAAGGUAGAGCAGGGCUCGGACCUGGAGAUCAAACCCCUGGAGAAGACGGCAUCUGAGGCUAAAGUGUCCGAAGCUGCUCCCUCGAUAAGUACCAGUGUCGCCUACUCAGAAGAAGAAAAAGAAGCCCCACCCCUUCCUCCCGCCUCCAAAAUGUCUUCCAAAGCUGCCGUCACCCCCGAGCCUAAAUCGUUAGAGCCCAAACAAAGAACAGAGUCGGUCAAUGAACGACCCGUGUCCACCAUAUCUGAGAGCGAACCAGAGUCCAGUGCCCAGUCUGUCAAUAAAGUGUCACCCAAGCCUUCGCCAUCACUCAGGCAAUUGACGAAACAGGAGGCCAGUCCAGCUUCAAAACCUGCCACACCUGCACCUACACCAGUGCCUAAAGCUGUCAAGCCAGCCCCGAAGGUUGAACCCAAAGCAGAGGCCAAGCUGAUGAAGAACAUGGUGAAGAGCCCAAGUGAAGUUACAGAAGUAGUAGAAUUUGAGCAGAGUCCGAACACCAUCAUGAUAACCAUGGUGAUUCUUCUCAACAUUGGCCUGGCCAUUCUCUUCGUACACAUCUUGUCAUGAAACACUGUCGACCCAGCAGUCAAAACACAAUGGCACUGAACUUCUGACCCUUGCAACCUGUCACCACCUUGCUGUGGUGUUGAGGUCAUUUUUAAGCAAGGACCAUACAGAACAAGAAAACUGCCAAGAAGCACAAGCCUUAUAUGAAGGAAGCAUGUGACAGCUCCUCCACACACAGCCUCUUGUUGAUGUGACUGCGUUGAGGUUCUUUAAGGCUAAUCUGCUUUCCAGAGGCUUGGAAUCAGAGGAGGCUGGUGGGGGGAGCUAUAGGAGGACGGGCUCAUUCGUGUCUGUAAUGGAGUUAAUGGAACAGUGUCAAACACAUCAACCAUAUGGAAACCACAUGUUUGAUUCUGUUCCAUUUAUUCCAUUCAAGCCAUUACAAUGAGCCUCUCCUCCUAUAACUCCCCCCGCCAGCCUCCUCUGCUUGGACCAUAUGAAUCCGGAUUGAAGGACAUCAAUGCAUAUGAAUCCAUACGGCUCAGGAUUGAAGGACAUCAGGAAGAGGGUCUGGAAGAGAAGAGGGUCUGAAUGGACACUGUGUUUGUAAAGAAGAGUUGUUGAAUGUUAUUCACUGGUGAAGUCUUUGGUAAAUGAUAUUUCACUGUAUCUGAGUCAACUAAAGCACUGUGUGUUAUGUUUUCACAAAGGGCUAAACCCUUCAUAUUGGAAAACACUGUCUCCUCAGAUCACCGGCAGAUUAGAGUGGUUGUGGUGUGGACAGGUUAGAGUGUCAGGAAAGGAUUAGUUAGCUUUGUAAUUAGAUAUUUAUUUAGCUGAUAUCUUGUCUAUAGGAAUGUAAUCUCUGGGAAAAUCUCAAAUGAACUGAAUAUUCUCUAAUUUCUGCCUAUUUUUGCCAAUUAUAAUUAGUGGUUUGGGGCUAAUAUCAGUGUUCCUAUUUAUUGACAGAAAUCUAUAUUAUGCUCCAAUUAGUUUAUCUGCCUUCUUCCUUUUUUGCCCUAUUCUCAACUUUCUUCAGUAGUCAUCAAUAAAGACAUGUUACAGUCUCUUUGACGUCACAGGGCUCUAAGACAUGAAAUGCUGGUUCUUUAUUCGGCAACGCCUGAGAAUCCGUGAUGUUCUUGUCUGCAAUGGCAAUGCAACCCACCACAGCAAUGCAAUGUAAUGGACAGUUGAUUUUGCACAUAACAUAUUCUCUCUCCAAGGCAAUUUUGAGUGAGUCACACUGGAAUGGUACUUAUAAAACAAUAUCUGUAUUAUUUAGUAAGAGGCUUUCAAAUGACACAGAAUCGGGGAGGAAUUCUAGGUCUUUAACCAGUGUAUGUGGUAUUGGAUUUCUGGAGUAAUGUGUAUCUAUGUUGUUUUCUGGUUGUCUGAUCAAAAGAAACGUAAAGCAGCCUAUUGAAUGGUUUGAUUUUAUUAAAAACAUGACAUGAAAAUAAUGAUACAUUUGGGUGGGCGGUGGGGAGUCAAUUUUGUCAAGUGUAGAUUUCGAGAGGGUAUUUAUUUGAACAAAUGGGCUUGCGUUGUUAGGACGUAAAUGUGAGCAGUUUUUUGGGAAUUCAGUUGGUCUGUCUGCUUCAGAAUAAGUCACACCAUUUAAGAUGCAUUGCACUCAGAACAAACCGUUUGCGCUUCAUAAUCAAUCAAGAUGACUUUCCUCCUAACGUUUGUAUGCACGUGGGCACUGUUGUGGGUGUGUUUUUGUACCUUUUUGAAGUACACAUCUCCAAUGUGGUGUAUUUAAAAGAAACACUCCAGGUCUUACUUUACUGGAGAGCACUACAGUAUGAGAUUCUGCACUGUAUAAAUCCUUAUUUAUAACUUUAUUUCCCCUAUGUCCCCGAACAGUUGUCUUCCCUUCAAAGACGAUUGAUAAGUAAGUGGGAAAAGAUAUUCAAGAUAAGGUACUCUUGUACAUUACGUAAAAGAGGCCUCAGAUCUACUUCCUUACUAAUCCAACUCCCACCUAUGGACAAUGCACUUGUAUUGUUUCCCUCAUGCUCAUAGCGACAUGAGACUCUUCAACAGUCUCCUUACUCUCGACAUUGUUUCAUAAAACAUUGACACUUUAUGUAACAUACUUUCAUUGCAAUAGAACACGAACGAGACCCUCUAUCAGAAGUGACUGGGCUAAUCCAGGAGCUGAUUAUUUAAGACAUAAUCCUGGAUGGAUCCCAUUGUAUUCAUAAAUAUUGCUUGUCCUCUUCUAAAAUUGUGAAAUGAAAAUAAAAGAUAUCUUCCAAUA